UACGUAGGGGGCAAGCGUUGUCCGGAUUUAUUGGGCGUAAAGAGCGUGUAGGCGGCCUGAAAGGUCAGCUGUGAAAACUCGAGGCUCAACCUCGAGACGUCGGUUGAAACCAUCUGGCUAGAGUCCGGAAGAGGGAAGCGGAAUUUCCGGUGUAGCGGUGAAAUGCGUAGAUAUCGGAAGAAACACCAGUGGCGAAAGCGGCUUCCUGGUCCAGCACCGACGUUCAGGCACGAAAGCGUGGGGAGCAAACAGG
rnacentral:rRNA from 1 species